CCUACGGGCGGCAGCAGUGAGGAAUAUUGGUCAAUGGACGCAAGUCUGAACCAGCCAAGUAGCGUGCAGGAUGACGGCCCUCCGGGUUGUAAACUGCUUUUAGUUGGGAAUAAAAGGGGGCUCGUGAGCCCCGUAUUGUAUGUACCAUCAGAAAAAGGACCGGCUAAUUCCGUGCCAGCAGCCGCGGUAAUACGGAAGGUCCGGGCGUUAUCCGGUUUUAUUGGGUUUAAAGGGAGCGUAGGCCGGCUUUUAAGUCAGCUGUGAAAGUCCGGGGCUCAACCGUGGAAUUGCAGUUGAAACUGGAGGCCGUGAGUGCACACAGGGAGGCCGGAAGUCAUGGUGUAGCGGUGAAAUGCUUAGAGAUCAUGAAGAACUCCGAUCGCGAAGGCAAGUGUCCGGGGUGCAACUGACGCUGAGGCUCGAAAGUGCGGGUAUCAAACAGGAUUAGAUACCCGAGUAGUC
rnacentral:rRNA from 1 species